rnacentral:rRNA from 1 species
CGCGCCGUGGCUGAUGCGCGAUUACUAGCGAAUCCAGCUUCAUGGAGUCGGGUUGCAGACUCCAAUCCGAACUGAGAGGGGUUUUGGGGAUUGGCAUCCCGUCGCCGGGUAGCGGCCUUCUGUACCUCCCAUUGUAACACGUGUGUAGCCCCGGACGUAAGGGCCGUGCUGAUUUGACGUCAUCCCCACCUUCCUCACAUCUUACGAUGGCAGUCCCAAUAGAGUCCCCAGCAUGGCCUGAUGGUAACUAUUGGCAAGGGUUGCGCUCGUUAUGGCACUUAAGCCGACACCUCACGGCACGAGCUGACGACAACCAUGCAGCACCUCCGCACAGGCCCCGAAGGGAAUCAACAUCUCUGUAUCAGUCCUGUGCAGUUCAAGCCCGGGUAAGGUUCCUCGCGUAUCAUCGAAUUAAACCACAUGUUCCUCCG